rnacentral:lncRNA from 1 species
GAAAAAUAGUGAAAAGGUACAGCCCCAGGAGGGUCCUCUGCAGCUGGGAGAGCAUCACCCCAGCUGCAAGGGAGCAGAGACAGUAACUCAAAGCUUCUCAGUGAGCUCUUAUGUGUUAUGGAACAGAUGACCAAGAGAAAAAGAAGUGGAUAUAAGCAGGAAAACAAAAGGGGCCCAGAAGUAUGCUCUACUUGCUUAUCUGUUCCAGGCACAAAACACCAGCAUGAUCUACACUUCAAUCAGCAGGGCUGCCUUACUUUGAAGAGUUCACAAUCAAAAGCAAUAGAAGAACAAAUACAAAGCUCACAUGGUUACCAUCUUCAAGUUUUCCCUUCAUCUGAUGGAAAUCUGUACAGGAGGCAGGAUAAUGAAAGUAUAUGAAUGACCUUCCCUCACCAUGGCUUUCAGCUACUAUUCUUGAAGAUUUGAAGUCUCUUGGAUUCAAGCCCUAACUCCUCUUAUGUCGGCAAACUCCAGUUUGAAUUAGUUUUCUCCUUUAACAAAAACUCCUGCUGUGUUGGAGAAUCUCUUAAUUACUUUUCAAGUUUCCCCUGUUAUUGUGGAAAUCUAUGAAAAUCUGACUACAGUGCUAAUAAAAUGAGUGAAUAACAUUUUUUUUCA